rnacentral:rRNA from 1 species
CUACGGGGGGCAGCAGUGAGGAAUAUUGCACAAUGGGGGGAACCCUGAUGCAGCAACGCCGCGUGGAGGAUGACGCAUUUCGGUGUGUAAACUCCUUUUAUAUGUCAAGAAAAUGACGGUAGCAUAUGAAUAAGCACCGGCUAACUCCGUGGCCAGCAGCCGCGGUAAUACGGAGGGUGCAAGCGUUACUCGGAAUCACUGGGCGUAAAGGACGCGUAGGCGGGUUGGAAAGUCAGGUGUGAAAUCCUACAGCUUAACUGUAGAGCUGCACUUGAAACUUCUAAUCUAGAGUAUGGGAGGGGGAGAUGGAAUUAGUGGUGUAGGGGUAAAAUCCGUAGAUAUCACUAGGAAUACCUAAAGCGAAGGCGAUCUCCUGGAACAUUACUGACGCUAAGGCGUGAAAGCGUGGGGAGCAAACAGGAUUAGAUACCCCGGUAGUC